AUGAACGCUGGCGGCGUGCCUAAUACAUGCAAGUCGAGCGAACGGACGAGAAGCUUGCUUUUCUGAUGUUAGCGGCGGACGGGUGAGUAACACGUGGAUAACCUACCUAUAAGACUGGGAUAACUUCGGGAAACCGGAGCUAAUACCGGAUAAUAUUUUGAACCGCAUGGUUCAAAAGUGAAAGACGGUCUUGCUGUCACUUAUAGAUGGAUCCGCGCUGCAUUAGCUAGUUGGUAAGGUAACGGCUUACCAAGGCAACGAUGCAUAGCCGACCUGAGAGGGUGAUCGGCCACACUGGAUCUGAGACACGGUCCAGACUCCUACGGGAGGCAGCAGUAGGGAAUCUUCCGCAAUGGGCGAAAGCCUGACGGAGCAACGCCGCGUGAGUGAUGAAGGUCUUCGGAUCGUAAAACUCUGUUAUUAGGGAAGAACAUAUGUGUAAGUAACUGUGCACAUCUUGACGGUACCUAAUCAGAAAGCCACGGCUAACUACGUG
rnacentral:rRNA from 1 species